rnacentral:lncRNA from 1 species
GCGGGACGGUGAACGGAGAAGGGUUGGCGGAGAAACCACCCGUCUCUCCUCUCGGGGCCCCAAAAAGGCGGCCUGCGGCGACCGCGCGCUGUGACUGUCCAACGCACGCUCCGCCCAUAGGCGACCCUGGCGCGACGCGUGGGAGAAAACGUUACAGUCUCUUUUUUUCCUUUUUCCUUUUUUUUUUUUGUCAAUUGUGGGACAAGAGCAACGACACAAUAACGUCAUUUGAAUGCAGUCUCCUGUGUGCCGCGCCUUUGCUGUCACCCAAAGCCCAACAUUGAAACACAUGUAGUCCUUAAAUCCUUUGCUGGUGUUCUUGGCUUUUGUCCCUGCCCUUGCAGUAGCCGCCCUAUCCUGCCUGGGUUUUCAUCUUUCCAACUACAGCCUCUUUCUCCCAAAAUCCACAUGUUUUGUCUGUUUUCUAAUCUUGGCUUCUGUUUGAAACGAACUGCAAGCCUUUAAACAUGUCUGUGGGUUCCCUCCACCUCCAUAGAUUCGGAAGCAAUUGGUCUUUCGUGAUGUCUGGGCUUCGAAAGUUUUUUUGUGUGCGUUUAUUUUUGUUUUUUGUUUAGUAACCUAGCUAUUCUCACGCACAAGUCACGGAAAAAUUAACUGUUAAAAGCGUCUAUUUUUGUGACCCUACCUAAACAUCGUUUUGCAGCUUCAUCUCUCGCAGGUGUAACAGAUGCUCAUGCUGAUCGUAAGGCCCAAGGAGACUUUUCAGCACAGCCUCUGAAGCAGUGGCAUUGGCAGCAUCUCCUCUGCUCUCUGGGAACCAGUUGGCAACCUCUGGAAGCAUUUUUCAUUGUCAGGGUUUCCUGAGCCUUAUAUGUUUGGAGUGUUUGCUAUAAACUGGGACUGGGCUCCACAACUCUAUGGACUGGUUGUAAGUUUCCAUAGGUGGUCUCCUCUGUUGUAACAAGAAGUUUCCUUGACCUGUGGGUCAUUUUAAUAACAUAAAAUUAAUUUGUCUGUCUUUCUUUUUGGGCUGGAGCCUUAUACAGACUUAGUGCAUGUUCUACCACUGAGCUGUGCCCCAGAGAGAAGAUUGCUGUUGUUGUUUCUGUUGUUUUGAGACAAGGCCUCAUGUCUCCAAGGCUGACCUUGAACUUAGUACAUACCUCGAUGGUCUUCUUUAUCAACUCUGCUAUACUUGGAAUUAACUAAAACCCAAAAAUGGAGGUGCAUACCUAUGAGGGACUUUUGCUUAAUUUGAAAUGGGAAGAUCCACUUCUAAUCAAGAUAUUUAAGGUGGGAAAUUCCACCUUUAGGCUAUGCCUUCUGCUGGCAGCCUAUAUGAACAUAGACAUAGAAGAAGGAAGCUUGCUUUUUGCCUGCUUCCUCUCACUCUUGCUGGCAAAUCCAUUCCUUCACUAGCAUUAGAGCCUUCUUCUUUGGAAUUCUGACAUAUACUCAAGACCAGCUGACAUAUCCACCCUUGUGCACUGAACAACUUCUAGAUUCUUGGACCUUUUGGUAGUAGACAGUCGUUAUUGCACUAGCUGGACCAUAGAGCCAGUAAGCCAUUCUAAUAUAUCCCCUUUCUAUAUAGAGAGAUUUAUUCUGUAAGUUCUGUUACUCUAGAGAACUAAUAUAAUACCUAAGGAUAACCCUGAACUCCUGACCCUCCUGCCUCAACCCCCUGAGUGUUAGGUUUACAGGCCUGUUCUGAACAAGCUAUAGGCAUCACUGGGCAGAUGGUCCUGGGUGAUAUAAAAACAGGCAGCUGAGUGUGACCUGGAAGCAAGGCAGUAAGCAGCCUUCCUGCUCACUGCUUUAGCUCCUGCCCUGUCUUCCUUUCAUGAUGGACUGUAAUGUAUAAAAUGAAAUGAACCUUUUCCUUCCCAGGCUCUGAACCAUCUCAUGGUCAUUAAGUGAAUCUGUCGCCUGGGAACCAAAUGACUGGGAAGAGAAAGGCCAUCCAUAGGGCUGGUGCUGAAGCAUUGCUUCUACAGCGUUUCCAGCCCAUUGACCACUCCACCACAUUCAGUUAUCAGAACCAGUCUCAGCCAAGAGGUGGAUUGUGAUGGUGCCUGCCUUCAAUCCCAGCACUUGGCAGGCAGAUCUCUAUGAGGAGUUUAAGACCAGCCUGGGCUGCAUACUGAGACCCUGUCUCAAAACAAACAAAAGUGGACUUGGCUUUGGUUUCCAGCUUCCCUUUCUUCAAACUUCCUCAAGGCCACUGUCUCCCUCUUCUCCAGGAGAAAAUGGAUCUUCAUCUCCUUGUAUCUUGCUCUCCUUUUAUACCCAUGCUGACUAAAUUUUUCGCCAGCUUGACAUAAACUAGAGUUAUCUGAGAGGAUGUGUUCCAGGUCCCCAGACCUCUAGCAUAACUCAUAGAAGUACAAUACAGGUCAUAGAAUCCAGCAUGUAGAAAGCACCACUAGCCAAAACAAUAACCAAAAGCUAAUCCAUCGAAGUCCUUAAAUGUACUGACCUUGCUUAUUGCCUUCUAUAGUUCUGCUUCUGGCUAACUGUUCUUGUUAACUGAACUAUGUCAACAAGAUCAUGGUUUUUGUGCUUCUAAAAGCUCACCCUAAGAAAGGCUCAGUGCUACCCUGGGACCCUGAACACCCAAUAUACUUGCUGGACAGAUAAUAAAGACCUUUUAUUGGCUUAUAAAUGGACCUGAGCUGUAUAAAAUCCGUAGUUGAAUAAGCCAGAGGAACCAAGCCAGUAAGCAGCAUUCCUCCAUGGUCU